rnacentral:rRNA from 1 species
AUUGAACGCUGGCGGAAUGCUUUACACAUGCAAGUCGAACGGUAGAGGGGGCAACCCCUUGAGAGUGGCGAACGGGUGAGUAAUAUAUCGGAACGUGCCCAGUCGUGGGGGAUAACGUAGCGAAAGUUACGCUAAUACCGCAUACGAUCUAAGGAUGAAAGCGGGGGAUCGCAAGACCUCGCGCGACUGGAGCGGCCGAUAUCAGAUUAGGUAGUUGGUAGGGUAAAGGCCUACCAAGCCAACGAUCUGUAGCUGGUCUGAGAGGACGACCAGCCACACUGGAACUGAGACACGGUCCAGACUCCUACGGGAGGCAGCAGUGGGGAAUUUUGGACAAUGGGCGAAAGCCUGAUCCAGCCAUUCCGCGUGCAGGAUGAAGGCCCUCGGGUUGUAAACUGCUUUUGUACAGAACGAAAAGGUUUCUAUUAAUACUAGGAGCUCAUGACGGUACUGGAAGAAUAAGCACCGGCUAACUACGUG